AAAACUUUCAUCAGCCAACUUAAAUUCUAUUACGCAAAAGUAUAAAAAUAAACGCCACUGUCUAUGUAGCAAAUUUUAUAUUUUUAAUGACAUGUUUCCUAUUUUCUUGCAGGAACCAAGAAUGUACCUCGAAAUAGAUGCUUGAUACUCAACUACAUAAAUUUGCUUCAUUGCUAUUUUAAAAGUCUAUUCCGUGCAGGAGAAUGCCGGCUAUCAUUAUCAGAUUUAGAUAGGCUUUGCAUUGCUGAUCUAAUUGCCAUGAGGAUCGUAGUCUUCCAAAAUCUCCAUCACUGACCUGGUUACCAUGAGGCCUGUUGUCUACCAAGAUCUCCAUCACUGACCUGGUUACCAUGAGGCCUGUUGUCUGCCAAGAUCCCCAUCACUGACCUAGUUACCAUGAUCGUAGUCUGCUAAGAUGACCUACUUCAGUUGCCUGGUUGACAUAACAGAACAGGAGGUUUAUUUUUACAUUCUCCUUGAAUAGUAUGAAAAUUCCAUUUUCGGCAUUUUGGUUAUUUAAAAUUUAAAUAUUUUCUCUGAUAAGAAUUAAGCAAGAAAAUAUUUUUAAUUAAAUCUAAAUCCAUUUUCAUAAUAUAAAUGCAAUUUAAGUGUACAUCGUAUAAAAGUUUAUUUCAAAUAUUUUUAUUAAUCGUAAAGAAUAUUUAAGUCUUAUUUAUCUAAACAUACCCUUCUCUAUUUAUCAUAUCUAAAAAUUAUUAUUCAUAAACUUUUUUGAGUCGUAUUUACCCAUUAAAUAUCUUAAAUUAAAUUUAAAGUCUCUGAAAUUUGGCAGCACCUUCUCUAAUCUAUCAGCUAUGUAUUAUAUAUACGCACUGUUAAUAGUCUUAGCAUUUUUAAUACAAGCUUAUUGUUAGCCAUUCCUCGCUAUCAGCUAUGGCAUAAUAUUUAAGAAAAUUAAACCUUGGCGCAAAAGAACUAAUUCCGAUUUAUUUGUUUUUUUUCCUUCAGACUAUUGUCCAGUACACUAACUAAAAUCUAAAAUUUGUAUUAUUCAAAAUAAUUGUUUUAGUGUGCCAGUUUAAAUUCAAAUCAUUAACUUCAGAGAAUUAUUAAAAAUUAAAAUACUUUCGUUCGAUUCUCAGACUAAACAUAUUUAGAUGAAUAAAACUUUACAUCUGAUUUUAUUUUGGUACUACAAAUUUUUAAAUAUUCCUUUUCCACCAAAUACAUCAUACGUUACUUUCAUAUUUCAGAAUCUGUUUAAGUAAAUGUGGGUUAAUUUUAAAAUCUACCAUUAAAAUACACUUAAUCUGAAGUUUAAGCAAAACUUGUUUGUAAAAAAUUUGAGGAAUUUAUAUCGAAUAGACAAAAUCUGAUCUCAAAUUUGUAAGCUAUUAAAAUUAACUAACUCUUAAACUUGUUUUAAUCUUUAAAAAAAAUUACAGCUCGCAG